UGUGACAUCACCUCAGCAAGUAAUGUGUGAGGAGGAGCGGCUGACUCUUAUUGCCCCUCUCCAGGCUGAACUGAACUGUCUCGACUCUAAUGAAGACGACUGAUGUUGUGAAAGAAAUAGAGCAUGUGAUGUCAGAGGACCUAUCUGACAGAUACUCUGAUCAAGACGCUCUUCACACAGCAUCAAUAUUGGACCCACUCAUCAAAAGGUGCACAUCUCCUUGAAGUUGAGUACGCUUGACUCCUGGAUAAAUGAAACGCCGCUAUCCUCACCGUGGAAAACAAGAGAUUAGACACACUUAAGAUGAGCACCGACAUGGCUUUUAUUGCUGAAACUGCUGAGUGGGGCAACCCUCCACAAACCUUGAAAAGUGGAAGUGAUAGAGUGGAGGAAGAGACAUCUUGAGGAGAUGCUGCAAAAACGAUGAAGCAUCAUUAUUAUAUUGCUGUAAGAAAGCCCUUCAUGUUUCCUUUAUUGAUUAGACUUGACAAAUAGGCACCAAAACAUACACCACUUCACAGAUGACCACUGCAACUGCUUUUCUGUCGACUGAUUUUGAAGCCACUUAACUCGUUCGGUGUCAUUGACGGUUAUAGAUGUCAAAGAUAUUAACUGGGUUGGCAGUGAAUGAGUGAAACACUUCACUUCUCAUUUGAACAAUAACAGGCAAGGAGGAAGCCUCGGGAGAGGAGAAAGUGGUGCAAGGGGAGGGGGGGGUUCA